rnacentral:rRNA from 1 species
UACGUAGGUGGCAAGCGUUGUCCGGAUUUACUGGGCGUAAAGAGCGCGCAGGCGGUCGUUCAAGUCGCGUGUGAAAGCCCCCGGCUCAACUGGGGAGGGUCACGCGAUACUGAUCGACUCGAAGGCAGGAGAGGGUAGUGGAAUUCCCGGUGUAGCGGUGAAAUGCGCAGAUAUCAGGAAGAACACCCGUGGCGAAGGCGGCUCUCUGGAACGCAACUGACGCUGAGACGCGAAAGCGUGGGGAGCAAACAGG